UACGUAGGGGGCAAGCGUUGUCCGGAUUUAUUGGGCGUAAAGAGCGUGUAGGCGGCCAGGUAGGUCUGCUGUGAAAACUCGAGGCUUAACCUCGAGCUGUCGGCGGAAACCAUUUGGCUAGAGUCCGGAAGAGGAGAAUGGAAUUCCCGGUGUAGCGGUGAAAUGCGCAGAUAUCGGGAAGAACACCCGUGGCGAAGGCGGCUCUCUGGGGCGGUACUGACGCUGAGACGCGAAAGCGUGGGGAGCGAACAGG
rnacentral:rRNA from 1 species